CUGACAAACAGGAGCAAUUAAUAGAGCCGAUUCUCACUACAUGUGGUUUCUGAUGCAGACUUGAACUAAUUACUUGAAGUCACUUUAACACUAUAUUGCAUCUCCUUGUUCAUAGCAUCAAGAGAGUUCCUGUUUGGACUUAACGUGGAUCAAGUUUCCAUUAAUCGAAAUGUACCUUGAGUGAAAGACGUAGCUUGUACCCCUUCCAUGCUUGUACCUUAGAUAGGCGACCACUUAUUCAAUA